UGGUUCCAAACUAACCAAAACAAACAAAUUUUUCUUCCUUUUCACCUAUACCAAUAUCUUCACGUUUCUAACUCUCUCUCUCUCUCUUUUUCUCUUUCUGUUUCUUCUCUUCACAUUUUACAUCUUUCUCUCACUCAAAUUUCAUCUGAAUCUCUUCUAUGAACCUAAGUGCCUUUCCAUCACAACCAUGAAAUUGCGUCUAAGAAGGCGGAGGAGUUCAAGUGUAAUUCGGCGCUGGCGUUAUGGCUAUGGAAAAAAAAUGGUGUGCGAAUCAGUUUGUGGUGAAAAGGCACAUGACGGAGACAACAUCUAGCGAUUAUCAGAUCUAUUUGGAGAAAAAGAGUGGGAGACGUUUGCCAAUAGAGGUAGGUGGAGUUAGGGUAUGGAAUGAUGAUGAAUACGGAAGGUUUUUUUACGGUUAUGAGCGAGAUUUGUGGAUUUGGUUGAAGGAAAUACAUGAUAUGUAAGUCUCAAUUUUUGGUGUCGAAGAAUCAAAGAGCGAUGUUGGUGAAAUCAGAACUGCAUCAUGGAAACCUAACUGAGUAAUAGCGAUACUAGAGGAAGAGGUUUUGGUACCAUUUUUGGUUCCACUAUUAAUCCAAGAUCACUCAGGUUUCAACCUUUUGGUUUGUCUUUUUUUCCUAGCAACUUUGAUUUCUCAGUUAUUCCAAUUUUGAGUUCUAUUUUGUAGCUAUUGGUUUAUCUCUCUCCCCAUCAAUGCUUCAGGGUUUUUCCUUUAGUGAUUUCAUUAAUGGCUUUAUCUCUCUCCCCAUCAAGGCUCAUGGUUUUUCUUUCAACAAAGCACUUAAGAGAUUUGUUGGUUUCCUUUAGAAGGGCAACAAGACGGAAGCCGCAAAGGAUUAUGUUUUAUACGGAUGGUGUAAGUGAAUGAUAGUUUUACCAAGUUUUACUAACGAGCUGGAUGUGACUCAGAAGGUUUGAAGGGACCAAUAAAGAUGGGAACCUGCUUCUUUUUUUCAAUUUCUGUGAAUGAGCUUGAAUAUGGAACGGAGGAGUCACCAGUGUCCCAAGGGAAGUCAAUUCAACAGAACUCAUAAAGUGCAAUUCAAACUAAUUUUGGUGCAUCCAUAUAGUCUAAUGCAUUUGAAAGUACUGUUGCAGGACACGCAAUGCGCCCUGGGCCAACUGAUCAAGCAAAUAACUAUGUAUUCUCAAAUGCACUCUCUAGCCCCAUCCGUCGUAGACUUCAGCCGUAUCGUUUAGCACAGGGGAGCAGUCCGUCGAGUAAUCUCAUGUCAUCCGGGAAUGGAAAUGAUCUAAAGUCCUUGAAAAUUUUGAGCUUAUUAUUUGUUGGUUUGUAGAUAUUAUAAUGGAUUGCAGUUAAUUGUAAUUGACAAAAUUGGAUGGAAUUGCAUCUCAUAUGCUGAUGAAUAAGUUAAUGACAAUGCACGUGCACU